CCGUCCUUCUUUGAUGACCAGCAAGCCUGCUUUCUUUUGAGACGAAGGUGGGCAGGGAAAGGUGGCAGGUAUGCUUACCUUUUGGGAAACAUAAUUCCUUCCAGAACUUGGGUAAUUUCCAUAAAAGGAUUCUAUAGACACCAAAGCAACUUUAGCUUAAAGCAGUUUUGGUGAAAAGAUCAUGUCCCUGCAGUCUCACUGCUCAAUUAUCUG